UACGUAGGGGGCAAGCGUUGUCCGGAUUCAUUGGGCGUAAAGAGCGUGUAGGCGGCCAGGUAGGUCGGUUGUGAAAACUGGAGGCUCAACCUUCAGAGGUCGACCGAAACCAUCUGGCUAGAGUCCGGGAGAGGAGAGUGGAAUUCCUGGUGUAGCGGUGAAAUUCGUAGAUAUCGGGAGGAACACCAGUGGCGAAGGCGGCUAUCUGGACGUCCACUGACGCUGAGGCGCGAAAGCGUGGGGAGCAAACAGG
rnacentral:rRNA from 1 species